GACGAACGCUGGCGGCGUGCUUAACACAUGCAAGUCGAACGGAAAGGCCCUGCUUGCAGGGUACUCGAGUGGCGAACGGGUGAGUAACACGUGGGUGAUCUGCCCUGCACUUCGGGAUAAGCCUGGGAAACUGGGUCUAAUACCGGAUAGGAGCCAUUUUUAGUGUGAUGGUUGGAAAGUUUUUUCGGUGUAGGAUGAGCUCGCGGCCUAUCAGCUUGUUGGUGGGGUAAUGGCCUACCAAGGCGGCGACGGGUAGCCGGCCUGAGAGGGUGGACGGCCACAUUGGGACUGAGAUACGGCCCAGACGCCGACGGGAGGCAGCAGUGGGGAAUAUUGCACAAUGGGCGCAAGCCUGAUGCAGCGACGCCGCGUGGGGGAUGACGGCCUUCGGGUUGUAAACUCCUUUCGCUAGGGACGAAACUUUUUGUGACGGUACCUAGAUAAGAAGCACCGGCUAACUACGUG
rnacentral:rRNA from 1 species